rnacentral:rRNA from 1 species
GACGAACGCUGGCGGCGCGCCUAACACAUGCAAGUCGAACGGAGCUGAGAGAAGCUUGCUUUUCUUAGCUUAGUGGCGAACGGGUGAGUAACGCGUGAGUAACCUGCCCUGGAGUGGGGGACAACAGUUGGAAACGACUGCUAAUACCGCAUAAGCCCACGAUCCGGCAUCGGAUUGAGGGAAAAGGAUUUAUUCGCUUCAGGAUGGACUCGCGUCCAAUUAGCUAGUUGGUGAGGUAACGGCCCACCAAGGCGACGAUUGGUAGCCGGACUGAGAGGUUGAACGGCCACAUUGGGACUGAGACACGGCCCAGACUCCUACGGGAGGCAGCAGUGGGGGAUAUUGCACAAUGGGGGAAACCCUGAUGCAGCGACGCCGCGUGGAGGAAGAAGGUUUUCGGAUUGUAAACUCCUGUCGUUAGGGACGAUAAUGACGGUACCUGACAAGAAAGCACCGGCUAACUACGUG